GUGUAGCUCAGUGGUAGAGUACGUGCCUGGCUUUCAUGAGACCCUGGGUUUGAUCCCCAGUAC
rnacentral:tRNA from 1 species